rnacentral:lncRNA from 1 species
GCUUGCUUCUGCUCAGACCCUUCCGCCAUGCCAUUUUUUGCCUAGAGCCAUCUGACCAGAGAUUGUAACCCUGAGCCAAAAUACAUUUCUCCUCUUUGAGGUUGUGAAUGUUGGGUAUUGAGUGUCAGCAAUGAGAAAGCGACUCAGACAUACAUUCAGAUUUUUAAAAUCAAAAUCAUUGCUAACUAUAAAUUAUAUCUGUUCCUUUGAAUGAGAUGAGCUUCAAGAAAAGAAUACUUCCACUAAAUCGGUGGAUACAGUUACUUAAUAAAAAUAUGACGUUUCUCUGCUAUGCUAGGUACUGAUGGAAGGGAAGUAACUGGUGACCCGAGUCAUUGAGAAAGACCUAACAUCGGCCAGGGUCUCCCAAAAAUUCACUCAGCCGCGUCAUAAGAAGACACAUGAAAUCCUCUGUAAAGAACUGUCCUAGAGAAGUACAGGGAAUGAGGGGCUGUCAGGAGAGAUACAGAGAAGAGAUACAGAAAGGACCAGAAACAAACAAUUUCUUUGGUCAUUUGCAAAAUAAAAGGUUUCUUUUCUUCCUUUAAUCUUCAUGGAGACUCUACAGAUGUUGGGAAUUGCAGUGAAGAGAAGGAAAGCUGAGCUUUCGCAGGCAACAGCCCUGAUUGUCUCAAAAAGAGGAGAAAAUGAUAUUAGCAACAGAGUGAAUGGAAUAGGGAGGGCUCAGAAGCUUUAAGGAAAAUGGGAAGUGUCUGCGUGGCUGCUCUGGUGACAUCAACAGGAAACCAACGUGGGAAGGAGAGUUACGGAGCUGCACUGAGCACGUAAGAUAACUGAACUCUGUCAACUUCUCCCUGGAAUUCCACAAGUCAGCUUCUACCAAGACUGAGCCCACCACUACACCAAUAGUAAUAAUGAGGGAGGGGGGGGAGGGAAAAAGGCGGGGGAGGGAGAAAGGAGAGAGGGAGGGGGGGGGGCUUAGGAAGAAUCACUUAUUCGGUAAAAUUCAAACCAAUAUUUUUUGUUUUGUUUUUUGAAAUAAGGUCUCCUUAUGUAGUUCAGGCUGGCCUUGAACUCAUGAUGUAGCUGAGGCUGACCUCAAACAUAGUGAUCCUUCUGCCUCAGCCUCCUGAAUGCACCACCAUAUCCAUCUCAAAAUUUCUACCAAUUUUUAAAGAUCAGCCAG